rnacentral:rRNA from 1 species
AUUGAACGCUGGCGGCAGGCCUAACACAUGCAAGUCGAGCGGAUGAAGGGAGCUUGCUCCUGGAUUCAGCGGCGGACGGGUGAGUAAUGCCUAGGAAUCUGCCUGGUAGUGGGGGAUAACGUCCGGAAACGGGCGCUAAUACCGCAUACGUCCUGAGGGAGAAAGUGGGGGAUCUUCGGACCUCACGCUAUCAGAUGAGCCUAGGUCGGAUUAGCUAGUUGGUGGGGUAAAGGCCUACCAAGGCGACGAUCCGUAACUGGUCUGAGAGGAUGAUCAGUCACCCUGGAACUAAGAACGGGUCCAACCUCCUACGGAAGGCAGAGGUGGGAAAAAUUGACAAUGGGCGAAAGCCUGAUCCAGCCAUGCCGCGUGUGUGAAGAAGGUCUUCGGAUUGUAAAGCACUUUAAGUUGGGAGGAAGGGCAGUAAGUUAAUACCUUGCUGUUUUGACGUUACCAACAGAAUAAGCACCGGCUAACUUCGUG